rnacentral:rRNA from 1 species
GACAGAGGGUGCGAACGUUGUUCGGAAUUACUGGGCGUAAAGCGCGUGUAGGCGGCAAUGCAAGUCGGGCGUGAAAUCCCACGGCUCAACCGUGGAAGUGCACUCGAAACUGCAUAGCUAGAGUCCUGGAGAGGAAGGUGGAAUGCUUGGUGUAGAGGUGAAAUUCGUACAUAUCAAGCGGAACACCGGUGGCGAAGGCGGCCUUCUGGACAGUGACUGACGCUGAGACGCGAAAGCGUGGGGAGCAAACAGG